UACGUAGGGUGCAAGCGUUGUCCGGAAUUACUGGGUUUAAAGGGUACGUAGGUGGGCGCCUAAGUCUGGAGUGAAAGUUUGAGGCUCAACCUCGAAAGUGCUUUGGAUACUGGGCGUCUAGAAUUAGAUAUAGGUAGCUGGAAUUUGUGGUGUAGCGAUGAAAUGCAUAGAUACCACGAGGAACACCAAUUGCGAAGGCAGGCUACUGGGUCUAUAUUGACACUGAUGUACGAGAGUGUGGGUAGCGAACAGA
rnacentral:rRNA from 1 species